CCAAUGGUUCCAAAGAAACUGGUUUCUCUUCUCUGCCACAGCUCUCCUAGGCCACGGUCUGAAUGGAAGGGUGUUUUGGCUUUGUUCUACCAUGUCCACGAUUACUUUUAAAGGACUAUCAGCUAUCUCCAUUGCUUGGGCAGCUGAGGUCCUGGAGCCAAGUCUGGAGGUUGCACGAUAAGGAGACAACGAGUCAGGAUAAGAAGAAAAAACUGAGACAGGAAGGGAGAGUCCGGGGUUUGUGACAACUCUGAAUAGACAAGAGGGAGAAAAGAACCUCUGCAGGAACCGCGUGGAACAGGUGAAAAGAGCGUUCUGGGAUUUGACUUUCGCCAGCUCCAGAGCGCUCUUCCCCCCCCCCCCCCCCCCACGAGACAUCCAAGAUGGCGCCAGGCCCGCGCGGUUGGAGGUCACCGGCACGCGGAAGGGGCAGCCCUAAGGCGCGGGAAUACCAGGAACAAAGGAGGGCGUGAGGACCAGGGUGGGCGCAUGCAAGUGAUCAGCCAGGAAUGAGGAAACCAGCAUCACCAAACCAGAAGAUAGGGGCUAAUGAUGAUGGUGACUCAAGCGCCCUGACACUAAGCCUUCUCUCCGGAGUCCUGAGACAGUCAAGGAAUAGUGGGCACCAGGGACCUGUAGUGAGGUUGUGAGGUCACCGCAGGCAUGCCCCUGCCUCUGCCCAGACUCCAUCUGUGGGAGUUGAGAUAAGCCGUCCUCCCGCGAGAUGUUCUCAUGGAAGCCCUUCGGCUUCUCCCUCGUGCCCUUUGGCUCUUUCUUUCCCAGAUGGAAAGCAGUAGGGGUGGGGGGCUCCCGGCCCUCAUCCCAUCCUCUAGGCCUCUUUGUCUCCCAAGACAGGCGACCAGCCGCUCCCUUGGAAGGAAGGCGACAAGGCCUAUCCACUUCCCCUCAUGUCCAAACGCCAGCCAUCCAGGCAUCGUGCUUGAACGCGGCUCGAGAAGGACGGGGAAAGCUCACCAAACCCCCAUAAAAAAUAAAAAAUAAAAAGAAAGCCGCGGCUGUAAAUAAAGCCAAAUCCGCCACCCUCUGAGGGGCCGUUUGUCCUCCCCUCCUUGGCCGCGUCCUUCCCGCCGCCCCCUCCCGGCUCCCAGGCCCCGCGGCGCCCCGGCCCCGAGCUCCUCCAUUUAAUCGGAUUUGGGAGAAGGGGAGGAUAAAUCACGGCAGCAGCUUUACGGUCCCGGAGGAGAGGCGAGCCGCAGCCAGGCACACCCCGGCCGGCGAUAAAAACCGCCGCUGAAAGCCCACGGAGCAAUUUCCCGGGACCCCGAGCGACGCCAUUACAGGAAUGUAAUUUUGCCCGGAUGAGGCCCCGAGUUUAAUUAUCCUCGCGGAGGAAUUUCAAUGCGGCCAAUCCAUCUUGCAGGCGGGCGGCAGAGGGAUUUAUAUGGGCCCGUUAUUUCACACCGAUCCUCCAUCUGCAUUUUUAUGGCCCUGAGCUCCUGAAAGGGAGGGGAAGGAGUGGGGAGAAAUCGGAGACGCGGGUGAGGAGAGAAGGGUGGGGGACCUCCUGCCUUUCCUAAAUCCACGAUUCCAGCUCGCUGAAAGCAUUGCAAUUCGGAUUCUGCACUGCUUCCUGGAGACUUGAUUGGAAGAUCCCAGCAGUGGUAUCUCCUGAGACUCAACUAUGACAUACUGAACUUUUUCACCCUCAUAAAUCAUGCAAAACAGGUUCUUUGACAGCUCGGUGGAUAGAGAGAUCUGUGGGGGAGGACUGAGAGUGGGGGAGGCUGGCUAUUGUGGCCAGGCUUGAAGUCAGAAAUUAAAUCCGUAGGGGAACAGUGAGACUGCAAAAACUGGCUGAGGUAUGUGAGAGAGGGGUGAAUUGGAAGACAGCAAAAGAGAGAGUUAGCAAAGGGUCUUAGGGAUCUUUUUAACUCGGUUUGGGAAAGGGCCCUUCCACCACAUCAGCGAGGGAAAACUAGGAUCCCGGAAGGAAAGGGUGUGGAGCCAGACUAUCCUUUCCAAUCAAUCCCUUUCUUUUCCUACCAGACCAUGUAACAAGGCUGGCCUGAUUGGCCAGUUUUUCUAAUGACUGUUGGUGGCACAUUCUCACUGGUUAGCAGCCUCCCUGCACAGUGGUGACGGAGAAAUGAGAUUGAUCUUUUCUUUCUUAGGAUUGGUUAACAGCUCUCAAGGGGGCCAGAGACUCAUUUUAAUUGACUGGAUAGACUAGGAGGGAGGUCCAGCACCUCUCAUAUAGAAAUUGAGUGUUGUUUUCCAUAAAGGUCAAGAAGAGUCUUGAUUGGCUUAUGCAUGUUUGUCUUUGGACGGAAAACAAUAGCUUAGAAAAGAAAAAUCAAAGGAAUCAUGCAGGCGUGCUACAAUUCAGUUUGAAACCCCAGAGAGAUGGAUUCUCAGAAACAUUAGAAGGAUAAAAAGAGAGAGAGUAGGACACAGAGAAACGCAAAGGAAAAAAAUUGCCAGAGAGAAGAGGAAGGGUUUGAAUAAUUUAUUUUUCACUCCUGAUGGCUUAAGAUGAGGCUACUUUAUGACGUGUUUUGCUAGAUGCACAUGUCACCAGGACGUGACAUAGAAAGAACAGCUGUCCUGGAAGCAGGAAACUGGGAGUCUAGUCCCAGCCUUGCUACUAAUGACCUGAAUUAACUUUGCAAGUUACUUCAUAUCUCAAAACUCCAAUUUCCUCACUUGGAAAAAUCAGGGAGAAAAGUAGGUGAUUUUUAAGGUUCUCUCCAGGGUUAACUUUCUAGGAUAUUCUUUCUUUCUGUUAAAUAGGUACUUGUGUACAAGUUGGAGUGCGAAGGCACUGCCAAUAAGAACUAUUUUUUUAAGUGUUUUUUUUUUUUUUUUAAACUAAUCUCUACAUCUAAUGUGGGGCUCAAACUCAUGACCCCAGGAUCAAGAGUCGAAUGUUCUUCUGACUCAGCCAGUCGGGGACCUCAACAAGGGCUGUUCUGAAGUCUUGAGCUCUAUUUGCGAUUGUUAAUUUCAAGCACCUGGGGCUGAUGGGCACUGAUGGAUUUCCUACUUCUCUUGCUAAAUCAGUUCCCCAGAAGAGCAAGACUGUGAGCCAUCAGUAAACGUGCGUAUUCCUGGAGGAAGAAAACACUAGAUGGAGGGAGGGAAAGAAUCGUUAGUAUCCAGGCUUCUGAGGGAGGGACCAGUGGGAAAGUUGGUGGCAAGACAGCCAAAUUUUGCUGGAGAAGAAACUAGAUUCCUUUGAAUUUGUAUGAUAAAUUUGUAUAGGUCCUACACACUUAUCUAGAAACUAUGAUUAAGUAUCUGUGUAAACAUAGAUUUGGUGCGUGCCUUUUGGUAGCUUCCAAGCCAAGGAACACACACAGACAACACAGAAAAUAAAAGUCAUUGUGAUAUAAUGUGGGGUGACUGGGUCGCUCACUUGUCGGGCAUCUGCCUUUGGCUCAGGUCAUGAUCCCAGGGUCCUGGGAUCAAGUCCCUUCUGAGUGGCGAGACUGCUUUUCUCCCUCUGUCUCUACCCUUCCUCCCCACUCAUGCUCUCUUUCUCUCUCUCACAUAAUGUCUAAAAAAAAAAAAAAGUCAUUGUGAUAUAAUGUGAAGAGCUAAGGACACAAACUAGAGACCUGAAUCUAUUAUAGUUUGUAAUACUGAUAAUUAGUUAUAUGACUUAGAAGAAAAAAAUCACUUUACUUCUCUAAACUUCAAUUUUCUUAGCUGCAAAGUGUAGAAAAGCCACUAGAUGACUAAUUAAGUUCUUUUUCAGCUUUAAAUAUAAAUAGCAUAGCUUUAUCCUUUCUGGUUUGCCCUUGUCUCCUGUGACUUCAGUAAUCAAUCAACAUUUAUUGAGUAUCUACUAUGUGCAAGGUAUUGUGCUUCAUAUCAUGAAUGGGAAUAAAAAGGGGGAAAGCAUAAUCCCUUGUCUUCAUAAGUUCAUAAUCAGUAAGAAAGACAAGUGCAUAUAUAGCUAUAAUAUGCAGCAAGAUUAAAUAGGUUAUUUGGGUAAUAGGAAUUGAGGAAGCAGUAUGAAUUCCAUCUAGAAUGAUCAAGGGGACACCGUGAUUAAAGUAGAU